AUUGAACGCUGGCGGCAGGCCUAACACAUGCAAGUCGAACGAGUGGCGGACGGGUGAGUAAUGUCUGGGAAACUGCCUGAUGGAGGGGGAUAACUACUGGAAACGGUAGCUAAUACCGCCUACCAUCGGAUGUGCCCAGAUGGGAUUAGCUAGUAGGUGGGGUAACGGCUCACCUAUGCGACGUUCCCUAGCUGGUCUGAGAGGAUGACCGGCCAAACUGGAACUGGGACACGGUCCAGACCCCUACGGGAGGCAGCAUUGGGGAAUAUUGCACAAUGGGCGCAAGCCGGAUGCAGCCAUGUCGCGUGUAUGAAGAAGGCCUUCGGGUUGUAAAGUACGUUAAGCGGGGAGGCGUUACCCGCAGAAGAAGCACCGGCUAACUCCGUGCCAGCCGCCGCGGUAAUUC
rnacentral:rRNA from 1 species